rnacentral:rRNA from 1 species
AUUGAACGCUGGCGGCAUGCUUUACACAUGCAAGUCGAACGGCAGCGCGGGCUUCGGCCUGGCGGCGAGUGGCGCACGGGUGAGUAAUGCAUCGGAACGUGCCCCGUUGUGGGGGAUAGCCCGGCGAAAGCCGGAUUAAUACCACCUACGACCUGAGGGUGCAAGCGGGGGACCGAAAGGCCUCGCGCUAUUUGGGCGGCCGAUGUCGGGUUAGCUAGUUGGUGGGGUAAAGGCUUACCAAGGCGACGAUCCGUAGCUGGUCUGAGAGGACGACCAGCCACACUGGGACGGAGACACGGACCUGACUCCUAAGGGAGGCAGCAGUGGGGAAUGUUGGACAAUGGGGGCAACCCUGAUCCAGCCAGGCCGCGUGCGAGAAGAAGGCCUUCGGGUUGUAAACCGCUUUUGUUCGGGAAGAAAUCCUCUGGGCUAAUACCCCGGGGGGAUGACGGUACCGGAAGAAUAAGCACCGGCUAACUACGUG